AUGGCAGCCCUCCCCAGCUGGGGGUCCCCCGUUCCCUGCCUCUGCUGUCCCUCCCCCCCACUCUGGCCACCCCAGGUGGGACUGGAAGUGCCGAGGCUUCUCAGACACCCCGGAGGGCUCCUCGGAGGCGGCUGGCCGCGGUCGCUCUUCUCUGUGGCCGAUGGACCCUGGACGCAUCCCCGCAAGGCCAGGCUCUUGUUUGGGGGUGCCUCCAGAGACCAGCCCAGAUUCCCCGUCAUGAGGGGCAUCACGUCCAGAACGCUUGGGGGCUCCCGUGGGGGGAGGGGGAACUCAGCUGUGCUCUUUGGGGCGCUCCUCAGAGCCUCCUGUCGUCUGUCACCCUCUUCUGGUGAGAGAAGCCCGGGCUGUGUCGGCGAGAGGCCAGCGGCUUCCCUCGGCCUUUCCUGGCUCCAGGACGGGCUUUGGGAUGGCGUCGCUCUCCGUUUCCUCGCGGGGCCGAGCAGGAGGGCUUCGGGCCACAAGCCGAGGCCGCGUGACCGCAUUCGCCACACUGGCGGCGCCUCGUCGGCUUCCGCCACGGGGCAGAGCUCUGGUUGGAGGAGGCUCCCGGAGACGUUCCCGCCGCGAGAGGCGGCGAGUCUCCCCUCGAGGGACCGGUGCGAGCCUGGAGGCCCUCCUUUUGAAGAGGACACGACGCCCUCUUUGAGCUCUUUCCUGGUUCUCCGCUUCCAGCCUGUCCCACGUCGCCGACGAUCGGACGGCCCUGCGGUGGCCCUCGAGGCCUGCGGGGGUCGAAGCCGUGAGCUGCGGCGCUCAUCCGGGACCGCCUGCAGACCCGUGCAGGAAGCGCGGCCCCUGGAGCAGGGAAAGGGCCGCCUUCUGCGUGUGGCAUGGUUGAAACGCGCUCCAGGACUAGACUUCCAGGCCGUCGUCGUGGCAGGACUCGUGUCGGGCCGUGGCCGGAGACGGGGGCUCCCGGGCCGACGACCCGCUUCUCUGGCUGCCGCUCCAGGCAGAGUCUUGGUGCAAAAGGAGCUUUGUUUUGGGCGCUGGAAGCUGACGGUUGUGGGCGUGCCUUGGGGGCCUCGGAGGGAGGCAGGGAUGACUGCAUGCCCUUCUUGA
rnacentral:lncRNA from 1 species